rnacentral:lncRNA from 1 species
UUCGAAGUUCUUGCCAGGCAGUUAGGAAGAGCUCUGAGCAUCCAGGGAGGGUAGGAGCUAGAGGGGUGGUUUUGAGAGCCAGUCUUCCGUGGGUGUGUAGAACAGAGCGUUGGAGCUGGAACAAGGAGGUAUUUCCCAGGCAGAUGGGACUAGAGUAUCCCAAAGGUUCAGAAGUAGACAGGGAAAGCUGUUCUGGGAAGAACCACGGAGGGGGGUGUGGCCAAUAGCUGCUUCAAAAUGGAGACUGGAGGGAGGGGAAUCUGGCCUUUGAGGAAAAUGGUGGAAACAGAAGGCUUGUGAAGUGGUGGCGAACAGCAGGCUUGGAUUGGGGUUGGGUGCAGAAGUGUGAGGUGGGUAGCGUAAGAGCCAGCAGCUGCUAGUGGAUAUUUAAGAGCCUGUCUGCAACCGAGGCUUUGCAAGGACUUGGGUUUCUCUGCAGCCCCGGCUGUCCGGAAUUCACCCUAGACGAGGCUGACCUGGAACUCACAGAGAUCUGCCUGCUUCUGCUUCCCUAGUGCUGGGAGCAAAAGUGUGUAUCACCACCCCCCUAGAAGUAACCUUUGAUUGUAGCAUCCCUUGAGUUUUUCAAAGGUGGCAACUACUUUCUAAGAGGUAUGUUGGAGGACAGUGGGACAGUCUGUAGGGAGGGAGUGAAAAAGGUCCUUUUCCUGUGCUUGGCUGUGAGAGGAAGGCGGGGACAUCCAGUGAGGCUUUGAGAAUAAUGGAGAGGGCACUUGAGCCCUCUAUGUAGCUCCUAAGGGGAACUCCCCUUGUUGGAUUCUAAGGCCUGUGUUUAGUCACUGUGCAGGGGCUUUUAGAGCCCCAAGGAGAGGAGUCUGAAUGGGAAGUUGUCGGGUCAGGGUGUGGCCUGCAGAGGGGGAGAGCUGCUUGCCUGGGUGCUUGCCUGGGGAAGGAGAUAAAGGUGGUUGCACAUGCAAACUAGUAGGUUCCUUUCACUGCCUAGGGCUUGAGGAAGGUGGGGAAGGAAGUUCAGGAGUGCAGGAAGAAAAUCAAAACAUGAAGCCCAGGUGCACAGCGGGCCAGCACAGAAGAGUAACUUUUGAAAGUCAUGGUGAAAUGAGACAUUUCUGCAGUGAAUGAGGCAGGGAGCAGAGGCCUGAGCAAAUCCAAGAAACAAAAGCUCAGUGGCAGGACGGAGCAGUAUGGGGUUAGGCCCGCUCCCACUCUGAGCCUUCUUUCUUUCUUUCUUUCUUUCUUUCUUUCUUUCUUUCUUUCUUUCUUUCCAUAAUUCAGUUUAUCAGGCACUUACUAUACAUUAUAAAAAGGCACUAUUUUAAGAAUUUUAUAAAAUUGCGUAGUAGCUGAGUGUGGUGGCACACAGGCUUUUAAUUCUCAAUUUGGGAACCAAGAGGCAGACUGAUCUCUGAGUUCGAAGCCAGCCUGGUCUACAGAGGGAGUUCCAAAUCAGCCAGGGCUGUACAAAGAAACCCCAUCUAACAAACAACAACAAUAAAACAAUCCACUUUUAUAAAAAUGUAUUAACAUUUUUAUCCUGCCAACAACUCUAAGGAGAAGGUAGAGGUUAACAUCUGCCAGUGGCUUUGUUUCCAUCUUGUCUAGACCCAUGCUACAUCCUGCUGCUCAGUGACACACCUGCCUGACCAUGCCACGAACUGCUCCAGCUCUUGUCCCUACAUAUGCACAUGGUUUGCCUUGUCGGGCUAACCGGGGUGAGCCCCUGAGAUCUGCCUGUCUCUGCCCUCUGCUCCUGAGAUUACAGAUGUGUGUAGUCGUGCCUGCCUUUUUAUGUGGUUGCUGGGGAUCUGAAUUCAGGCAGUCACACCUGUGCAAUAAGCACUAGCCAAGUCCCCAGCCCCUGCUAUACACAUUUCUGAAGAGCAGUCAACAUCCCAACUGAGAGGGGGAAUGGGGUUAGACAAGCAGAGGGGGCUUCUGAUUGUCCCCACAUCCUGAGAAGCUGGGCAUGUCUGGAGGCACCUUGAGGUGUCAGGACUGGCAAGGUCGGCUGUAUAAUUGGCAUCUAAUGGGUGGAGGCUAAGAUGAACUUAAAUGUCCAGUAAUGCAUAGCAUAGCCUACCACAUUCAGGCCUAAGAUGUCAGUUACAGAGGCUGAAACCC